CUCCCAAAGCGUAACGGAGGAGCACGAAGGUUAGCUAAUCCUGGUCGGACAUCAGGAGGUUAGUGCAAUGGCAUAAGCUAGCUUGACUGCGAGCGUGACGGCGCGAGCAGGUGCGAAAGCAGGUCAUAGUGAUCCGGUGGUUCUGAAUGGAAGGGCCAUCGCUCAACGGAUAAAAGGUACUCCGGGGAUAACAGGCUGAUACCGCCCAAGAGUUCAUAUCGACGGCGGUGUUUGGCACCUCGAUGUCGGCUCAUCACAUCCUGGGGCUGAAGUAGGUCCCAAGGGUAUGGCUGUUCGCCAUUUAAAGUGGUACGCGAGCUGGGUUUAGAACGUCGUGAGACAGUUCGGUCCCUAUCUGCCGUGGGCGCUGGAGAAUUGAGGGGGGCUGCUCCUAGUACGAGAGGACCGGAGUGGACGCAUCACUGGUGUUCGGGUUGUCAUGCCAAUGGCACUGCCCGGUA
rnacentral:rRNA from 1 species